rnacentral:tRNA from 1 species
GACUUAGUGGUCCAAUGGUAAAACGUUUGCCCUGGAGCCAGAGGGUCUUUGGUUUGACUCCCGAUGGAGUCG